ensembl:lncRNA
UACAGUGACACACGAAUGGGUGCGUCAGGAUAGUCAGUAAAGUUUUCUUUAGAGCUGGAACAUAAAACAUUUGUUUUGAAGAACGAGUCUGUUAAAACUGGGUCAUUUCACAGUGACGGAGAAACAUCACAAAGCUGUGCCGGAGCAUAUACUCUCCAUGUUGGAAACUCCGGAGGUGAAAACCAGUUACUCAUGAAAUGAAGUCAUGUGUUGAGUCUGGCGGUGCCGCACGUGUUUCCUGUGGAGACGAAUAGCCAAGCUUACCUCGUUUUUUUCUCCCUGUCCAUAUUGCAUCAUCGCUGUCUUGUUGAGGCAGCAUCACCCACUAGGAGGACGCAUCCACACCACCCCACUGUGCUCGCGCCUCACUGGCACUGCAGCCGUGUCUUGGAGGGAUAGCAAAAUGCCAGCCCUUAUUCGCUCCUCGCAAACAGCUACCAGCUAUCGCGCUCCUCUGAAAAGCACCCGUGAAAAAACCAGCGGGGAACGUUUGACAGCCAA